rnacentral:rRNA from 1 species
GACGAACGCUGGCGGCGGGCUUAACACAUGCAAGUCGAACGGAAAGGCCCUGCUUUUGUGGGGUGCUCGAGUGGCGAACGGGUGAGUAACACGUGAGUAACCUGCCCUUGACUUUGGGAUAACUUCAGGAAACUGGGGCUAAUACCGGAUAGGAGCUCCUGCUGCAUGGUGGGGGUUGGAAAGUUUCGGCGGUUGGGGAUGGACUCGCGGCUUAUCAGCUUGUUGGUGGGGUAGUGGCUUACCAAGGCUUUGACGGGUAGCCGGCCUGAGAGGGUGACCGGCCACAUUGGGACUGAGAUACGGCCCAGACUCCUACGGGAGGCAGCAGUGGGGAAUAUUGCACAAUGGGCGGAAGCCUGAUGCAGCAACGCCGCGUGCGGGGUGACGGCCUUCGGGUUGUAAACCGCUUUCGCCUGUGACGAAGCGUGAGUGACGGUAAUGGGUAAAGAAGCACCGGCUAACUACGUG